UACAGAGGUCCCGAGCGUUGUUCGGAUUCACUGGGCGUAAAGGGUGCGUAGGUGGCUGGAAAAGUUUGAUGUGAAAGCUCAGGGCUUAACCCUGAAAUGGCAUUGGAUACUGUCGAGCUGGAGGUUUGGAGGGGGGACUGGAAUUCUUGGUGUAGCAGUGAAAUGCGUAGAUAUCAAGAGGAACACCAGUGGCGAAGGCGAGUCCCUGGACAACACCUGACACUGAGGCACGAAAGCUAGGGGAGCAAACAGG
rnacentral:rRNA from 1 species